GACGAACGCUGGCGGCGUGCCUAAUACAUGCAAGUCGAGCGGAACUGGGGGAGCUUGCUCCUUCCAGUUUAGCGGCGGACGGGUGAGUAACACGUGGGCAACCUGCCCUGCAGAUCGGGAUAACUCCGGGAAACCGGUGCUAAUACCGAAUAGUUUGGCGCCUCUCCUGAGGCGCCACGGAAAGACGGUUUCGGCUGUCACUGCAGGAUGGGCCCGCGGCGCAUUAGCUAGUUGGUGGGGUAACGGCCCACCAAGGCGACGAUGCGUAGCCGACUUGAGAGGGUGACCGGCAACACUGGGACUGAGACACGGCCCAGACUCCUCCGGGAGGCAGCAGUAGGGAAUCUUCCGCAAUGGACGCAAGUCUGGCGGAGCAACGCCGCGUGAGUGACGAAGGUUUUCGGAUCGUAAAACUCUGUUGUGAGGGAAGAACACGUACCAACUAACUAUUGGUACCUUGACGGUACCUCACCAGAAAGCCACGGCUAACUACGUGCCAGCCGCCGCAGUAA
rnacentral:rRNA from 1 species